rnacentral:lncRNA from 1 species
GGCUGGGCGGGCGGACCGGACAGUCGAUAACUGUGUCUGGCCCUCCGGGGCCUACCUUUUAUCCAGCAAUGGGCCUGACGAUACUGAAAGCGCGUUGGGGCUGGUAUCCUGGGACCUUCUCGUGGUAGCCCUGUUUAAACUGACCUUACCAGGAUAUUUGACCUGCUCUCAGAAAUUGAGUCUAGUUGCCCAAGUGUCACACAUUAGGGUUUUUUUGGUCAAAUCAAACAUGCAUCAAUGAAAUCUUUGCAGAACUCAGUCCGUUUGAUAAAUUUCUACAAUUUUGGACCACAGUGUGAAACUAAAACUUUGCCCAGAGGGAAAAAUUCAAACCCCCAUUUCAUUCUAAAUCAUUUUUUUUUUCAUUCAGGUCCGUUCAAAACAUGCCUAAAACUGGAGAUGGAAUAUAAUUGUGAAGUAAUUUUUUUGUUUUUAGAAAUCUGACUGGUUUUCUCAGAGCAGGUCACAUCAGUUCGGUUGAGAUGUGCACGGACCAAGGACUAAUCCUUCUCUUUCUUUGUUAUUUGUUGCAGAUAAUUGAUCUGGUCACCUCGCGCUGGGGACACACUGACAGACAUCCAACAAACUGUCUCAGAAGAAUCCUGCUGCAGCAACGCAACAUUUGAUCAAAGGCUCAUGGUCCGUGUAGUGCUGACGAUGACAUUCAAGGAUCGUCGGCCAUGUGACGUUAGCUGAGUGACUGAAACACACUCCGCUUAAUUGCAUUUAUUGCAUUUUAUGAAAAAAAAACACUGUUUAAACUUGUAUGCAGUAAUUUCAUAGACAUGUGUUUUGAUAUAAUCUCAAUUUCAUCUUUUAAUGCAUUUUCACUUAUUUUUGAUGUUUACUUUUAAAUUGAAAUGUAUUCACUCCUUAAACUCUCACAAGAAACAAUACAAAUGUAUCUUCCAAAAAAACAAAUAUUUUAGUGACUUGUGACAGUUGCAUCACAAAUCCUAAGUCCAUUGACUUUAACCAUAACUCAGUCACCUAAUUUGCCAGUUUAUGAAACUGCACAGACCUGCAUACUAGUUGCUGUUAUUUAACGGGGAAUGGUCGUCUUAUCAAAGUUUUAAGCAUUGAAGCAAGUUGAGUCUUGAAUUAUUCAAACUUCCCUAAUUUUGAAGUCAUUUUCGUUGCAAUUUUUUUUUCCUGUUUAUUUUUUUGCAUGAGUAUAUUUGUAGUGAAAAGUAUUAAUUUUGUUAUCGACAUAAGUAUAUGUCGCAAACACUGCAAGUUUUGUUCGUUUUUCGGAUUUGCUUCCUGGAUGGUCAGAAAUGUAUUGUUAAUUUAGGGAAGUAUGUGUACGAUAAUGUCUGAAGUAAAAUCUGUUUUAAAGUACAAAUAAAUGAGUUUGACAGCA